rnacentral:lncRNA from 12 species
GUUUUGCACAAAGGAAAAUCCAAGUGCUGUGCUGUACUUUCAGAUAUAGCCCAAGCAAUGCAAACUUAUGUGAAAAUGGAAGUCUUUGACAUUGUGGCAUGGGUGUGCCCAAACGGACUUCAGCGUACCUGCAAUUUCACUUCUUCCUGCAAAUGGAUUUGGAGCCCCAUUUUCACCUGUGCCAGCACAGCUGUGCUUCCAGUCAUGUGACAUAUCCUCAUCACAUGGACAAUAGGUGAGUUCAAGUAGCAGAGGUUAGCUGAAUGUGCC